ensembl:misc_RNA Metazoa_SRP Metazoan signal recognition particle RNA
GCUGGGCGUGGUGGCGCAUGCCUGUAAUCCCAGCUACUUGGGAAGCUGAGGCAGAAGAAUUGCUUGAACCCAGGAGGUGGAGGUUGCAGUGAGCUGAGUUUGUACCAUGGUACUCCAGCCUGGGCAACACAGUGAGACUCUGUCUCAA